CAAGAGUAAAUAAACUGUGCUCAAGGAUAUAUAUGUUUUCAGUAGGAAGCAUAUUCUAUACCUAAUAAAGAAACGAUAGGUCGGACUGAAACGCGAGAUGAACGUUGAAAGUAAACACACAUGAGAUAAUAUGUAUAAUUUAGUCUGACGAAAUUUAUGCAGUUGAAACGUGAAUAUCUAAGCAUAGAAAUUUGAUAUAGAUAACCACCGAAUGGCUCAUAAUCCAGCGGCAUGUCGCGCCUAUCGUUCCAAGCUCGAAAGAUAAAUAGAAGCACGGGGACCAGCACCGCCUCGAGCGCAUUACGUCGCUCGUUCUCUUUCACGCGCAGGUUGGUAUACCUCGAAUUUGCAUUGCCCAGACAACGGCAGUGCUGCUGUCUGUACCCAACGAAACUUCAAGCCUGCCAACAUUUCUAGCUUCCGUUUCGACAGCGCGUCACUCUCUCGUUGAAAA